rnacentral:rRNA from 1 species
GGGCAGUGGCGGGGUGCUAUACAUGCAGUCGAGCGAUGAAGAGGAGCUUGCUCCUCUGAUUUAGCGGCGGACGGGUGAGUAACACGUGGGUAAUCUGCCUGUAAGACGGGGAUAACUCCGGGAAACCGGGGCUAAUACCGGAUAAUAAGAAGAAACGCAUGUUUCUUUUUUGAAAGUCGGUUUCGGCUGACACUUACAGAUGAGCCCGCGGCGCAUUAGCUAGUUGGUGAGGUAACGGCUCACCAAGGCGACGAUGCGUAGCCGACCUGAGAGGGUGAUCGGCCACACUGGGACUGAGACACGGCCCAGACUCCUACGGGAGGCAGCAGUAGGGAAUCUUCGGCAAUGGGCGAAAGCCUGACCGAGCAACGCCGCGUGAGCGAUGAAGGCCUUCGGGUCGUAAAGCUCUGUUGUUAGAGAAGAACAAGUACGAGAGUAACUGCUCGUACCUUGACGGUACCUAACCAGAAAGCCACGGCUAACUACGUGCCAGCAGCCGCGGUAAUACGUAGGUGGCAAGCGUUAUCCGGAAUUAUUGGGCGUAAAGCGCGCGCAGGCGGUCUCUUAAGUCUGAUGUGAAAGCCCACGGCUCAACCGUGGAGGGUCAUUGGAAACUGGGAGACUUGAGUGCAGGAGAGAAAAGUGGAAUUCCACGUGUAGCGGUGAAAUGCGUAGAGAUGUGGAGGAACACCAGUGGCGAAGGCGGCUUUUUGGCCUGUAACUGACGCUGAGGCGCGAAAGCGUGGGGAGCAAACAGGAUUAGAUACCCUGGUAGUCCACGCCGUAAACGAUGAGUGCUAGGUGUUGGGGGGUUCCACCCUCAGUGCUGAAGUUAACACAUUAAGCACUCCGCCUGGGGAGUACGACCGCAAGGUUGAAACUCAAAGGAAUUGACGGGGGCCCGCACAAGCAGUGGAGCAUGUGGUUUAAUUCGAAGCAACGCGAAGAACCUUACCAGGUCUUGACAUCCUUUGACCACUCUAGAGAUAGAGCUUUCCCCUUCGGGGGACAAAGUGACAGGUGGUGCAUGGUUGUCGUCAGCUCGUGUCGUGAGAUGUUGGGUUAAGUCCCGCAACGAGCGCAACCCUU